rnacentral:rRNA from 1 species
AAUCAACGCUGGCGGCGUGCCUCAGACAUGCAAGUCGAACGAUUAAAGCUCCCUUCGGGGAGUGUAUAGAGUGGCGCACGGGUGAGUAACACGUAAGUAAUCUACCUUCGAGUGGGGAAU